rnacentral:rRNA from 1 species
AACCUACCUUAGUUACUGGGAUAGCCCGAGGAAACUCGGAUUAAUACCGGAUAUUCUUAUUUAAUCACAUGAUUUUUUAAGGAAAGGUCAGCCGAACUAAGAUGGGCUCGCGUUCUAUCAGCUAGUUGGUAGGGUAAUGGCCUACCAAGGCUACGACGGAUAGCUGGUCUGAGAGGACGAUCAGCCACACUGGGACUGAGACACGGCCCAGACUCCUACGGGAGGCUGCAGCAGGGAAUAUUGCGCAAUGAGCGAAAGCUUGACGCAGCGACACCGCGUGUGGGAUGACGGAUCUAGGUUUGUAAACCACUUUCAGGAGGGAAGAAAAUGACGGUACCUCCACAAGAAGCCCCGGCCAACUACGUGCCAGCAGCCGCGGUAAUACGUAGGGGGCGAGCGU